AGUGAACGCUGGCGGUAGGCCUAACACAUGCAAGUCGAACGGCAGCACAGUAAGAGCUUGCUCUUACGGGUGGCGAGUGGCGGGCGGGUGAGGAAUACAUCGGAAUCUACUUUUUCGUGGGGGAUAACGUAGGGAAACUUACGCUAAUACCGCAUACGACCUACGGGUGAAAGCAUGGGAUCUUCGGACCUCGCGCGAUUGAAUGAGCCGAUGUCGGAUUAGCUAGUUGGCGGGGUAAAGGCCCACCAAGGCGACGAUCCGUAGCUGGUCUGAGAGGAUGAUCAGCCACACUGGAACUGAGACACGGUCCAGACUCCUACGGGAGGCAGCAGUGGGGAAUAUUGGACAAAGGGCGCAAGCCUGAUCCAGCCAUACCGCGUGGGUGAAGAAGGCCUUCGGGUUGUAAAGCCCUUUUGUUGGGAAAGAAAAGCAGCAGGUUAAUACCCCGCUGUUCUGACGGUACCCAAAGAAUAAGCACCGGCUAACUUCGUG
rnacentral:rRNA from 1 species